UACGACUACAUAUCAGGCAUAUCAAUAAGCGGAGGAAAAGAAACUAACCAGGAUUCCCUCAGUAACGGCGAGUGAAGCGGGAAGAGCUCAAAUUUGGAAUCCUCAAGGUUUUACCUUGACGAAUUGUAGUUUAAAGAAGUGUUUUCUGUUGGAGUUUUGGUAAAAGUUCUUUGGAAUAGGACAUCAUAGAGGGUGAGAAUCCCGUAUUUGACCAUUUCUUCCAGCUGUGUGAUACACUUUCAAAGAGUCGGAUUGUUUGGGAAUGCAGUCCAAAAUGGGUGGUAAAUUUCAUCUAAAGCUAAAUAUUGGCGAGAGACCGAUAGCGAACAAGUACCGUGAGGGAAAGAUGAAAAGAACUUUGAAAAGAGAGUUAAACAGUACGUGAAAUUGUCAAAAGGGAAGCGUUUGACACCAGUGUUGUUUUCUCGAAAAUCAAUUAAAAAUAAAUUUGAUUUUGCGUUGUAUUGACCUUAAAAGCUUUCUUCACUUUUUUCAUGUCUUUUUUAAUGCACUUUUCGUUUAACAAGUCAGCAUCAGUUUCUUUUGUUGUAAAAAGGUCAUUGGAAGGUGGCUUUCUUUUCGGAGAAAGUGUUUAUAGCCUUUGACUCCUGCAAUCGGAGAGACUGAGGUCUGCAGCGUAGAUCCUUUGGAUUAGAUUCAUUUGUGCUAAGUUAUAGCUUUUUAUAGACAACUUGUUGACUAUAUUUAGUCUUGUAACUUACUCGCUUAUGUAAUUUUACCUACGCUUAGGAUGUUGACGCGCGUGUGUGCGUG
rnacentral:rRNA from 1 species